CCGCCUUUGUUCUUAUUUCCGCAGCUAAAACAUCACGAGAAGGAGCCAUUGUAUUAAAGGGGGCGAGAGAGAGAGAGAGAGAGACGGCAUUAGAUCAUCAAGCCAACUUAGCUCCCGCUUCAGGAAACAGAUGUCCAUCAAUUUCCUAACAAAAACUAGAGCUAAUACCUGCAACAAACCAUCAGAGAUCAGGAAUUGUGGUUUUGACUACUUUAAACAACUGAAGUUUCUCAUUGGCAUUAUCACCCCUGGAAAAACGAUCAGUCAAUCGGCUAUCAACCAGACUAUCAACCUACUUACUGCUACUUAAUCAGAGGCGUGUGGAGUAAGGAAACUUAUCCAACGUUUCGCCCUGCGUGGGAAUUUACCCCGGGUUCGCUCGCUUGCGAGAUCUGAGUGAUGGGAGAGAACAUACCUGCGAUGGGACAUUUUUUGGAGGUUCGAUUCGGAUAGAGGGGUCCCAUUCCCCUGGAGGCAGAACAGUCACUUGAUCCAGAAACUCAUCAAUGCCAGCCAGCAGGUCACUGCGAUCCUUUGCCUUGUAGGCAACAUCAUGGAAAAUCUAACAGUAGAGUUGUAACAUUUCUAAUUAGUUGGUUAUGAUCUUUGACGAAGAAUUGAAUGCAAUGAUUUGAGAAGAUAUCAAUUCCUGAGCAUCAAUAAAGCUGGGAUUAACCCGUGACUCUCAUGCAUACAGUUCCUGAUGAGAUAAGACUCUGAAUGAGGCUGAUUGAAGCGCACUGUAACGCUGAUCCUGCACUCGUUACUCUUGACGACAAUCUAUUCUCAGCAUUGUCCUUUGGAUACGCUUCACUGAUCUUCAUUAUUUGGCAAGCGCUCUCCACUACUGCUCAAUGCUUCUUUGUACUGCUGAAUACGAUCUGGAGGGUUCUAAUCAGCAGCGAAGUUAAUUAAACUUCUACGUCAAUCUUGCACCUUUAAAUAAUCCCAGUAGUUUAUUGGGAUAGAUUAAUACCCCAUUCACAUAGGACUUUACCGUGAGGGAGAGUAUAUUGUAUGUUAUAUUAAAAAAGUACUUCCACAAACAGAGGAAAGAAGGAGAGGAAUGAUCUGAUGUAUUUUACAGAGAUUGGCUUCACUGCAGGCCUGGGAGUGGCGUCACCAACUUUUCAGCUCAGGAUGGGAAAAAUGUCAUAGCGUUAUCCAUCAUUAAGCAACAGAACCCAAAA